AAAUCGCUGCGUCAGAAUGGACCUGACGCUCUUUGUGAGGCAAAUCACAAGGGGACCUGCUGUUGAUGAGAUACGGGCAGAUAAAGAAGAGAAUACAGAAUGAGUAGCUUUUCACAAGAAUAACGAGACUAAAAGUCGUUUUUUUUUUUUUUUUUCACAGAUAACGUUGUCCGUGUUUGUAGUUGUGACAGAUUAACAAGAUCAGCCCUAAAUGCCCACUGACGGCAAGCAAAUCGUGUGGCACCGCCUCCUCCACUUCUGGCUCAUCAUCUUGGGUGUUUCAACACUCACAACCACAAACUAGCAACAGACAUGGUGUAAAUAAGCAUCUCACAACAUUCACACAAAUGUGUCAAACAGCGCGUUGGUCUGUACCUGCAAUUUGAAGUAAAAGGACACGCAAGGGAGGGAUCCCAGAAACUACAAAAAUAUCUUCUCCAGAGACAUUUCUCCACUGCGGGCAAUGUAAAAUAAUCGUGCUGGGGAUGGCUGGUGCCAUCAAAGAGUGUCAUCGCUAUGGGGUGGGGGUGCUUGGUCUGGUCUGGUCUGGUCUAGACUGAGCCACAGCAGAAAAUCAUCCUACAAGAUGCGAAGACAGGAUUACUCACCGCGGGAUGCUGUGUACCGCCUGAUUAAAACGGGAAGUAGCAAAUAUGGAGCCUAUUGUGAAAAAUGUUUCCUCCUUUGGGGCAAUCAUUGAUUAUCCCUCCCUGUAAAAUCUUUGGUUGAUUAGACAUUUUUUUCAAAUUUCAAGAGAGCCUAUUUAGUCCCAAAGUGAA